UGGGCGGCCUACCAUGCAGUCGAGCGGAUGACGGGAGCUUGCUCCUUGAUUCAGCGGCGGACGGGUGAGUAAUGCCUAGGAAUCUGCCUGGUAGUGGGGGACAACGUUUCGAUAGGAACGCUAAUACCGCAUACGUCCUACGGGAGAUAGCAGGGGACCUUCGGGCCUUGCGCUAUCAGAUGAGCCUAGGUCGGAAUAGCUAGUUGGUGAGGUAAUGGCUCACCAAGGCGACGAUCCGUAACUGGUCUGAGAGGAUGAUCAGUCACACUGGAACUGAGACACGGUCCAGACUCCUACGGGAGGCAGCAGUGGGGAAUAUUGGACAAUGGGCGAAAGCCUGAUCCAGCCAUGCCGCGUGUGUGAAGAAGGUCUUCGGAUUGUAAAGCACUUUAAGUUGGGAGGAAGGGCAGUAAGUUAAUACCUUGCUGUUGAGACGUUACCGACAGAAUAAGCACCGGCUAACUCUGUGCCAGCAGCCGCGGUAAUACAGAGGGUGCAAGCGUUAAUCGGAAUAACUGGGCGUAAAGCCCGCGUAGGUGGUUCGUUAAGUUGGAUGUGAA
rnacentral:rRNA from 1 species